AUGGAGACAGACUGCCUGGAGAUUGUUAAUCUCUGAAAAAAUCGCCAUAACAGUUUUUCUGUGAUGGCGCUAGUACUUCUAGAAAUUGGAGAGCUAACUGUGUCUUUUUCUUAUUUUGAUAUUCAACAUGUAAACAGAGCAGCCAAUGUAUCAACCCAUCUUUGCACAAAACAUGAUUGCACGCUGAUGGUCACCGAGAGUUGGACUGACUCCGGACCUUCCUUCCUACUCACCAGCUUGUUGGCUGAUGAUGCCAGGAGUUCUUUCGUUGAAUAA
rnacentral:rRNA from 1 species